GAAGGAAAUAAAGGGGACUUGUUUCUCUAGGUGUCCUUGGCUGGCCCUUGGUCGACCCCUUCCUCCUCACAGCUUUCGAGGUAACUGUUCUGGACCUGAGUCAUCACAGCUGCUGGAUCAUUGUCUAUAGACACAGCAUGUCUCACCAUGUGGUCUCUUUCCCACCCUGCUAAGACCCUCACCAGGAGUCAAACAGAUGGGGCUGCCUUAUUUGGGACUUUCAGUCUUAAGACUAUGAGCUAAAUAACCUCUUUUCUUUAAAAUGCAUCCAGCCUCAAGUAUUUUAUUAAAACAAUAGAAAACUUCUGUUAUUCUAUAUGUUGCUUUUGAAUCUAGAUUAUAAAAAAUAUUGUGGCUUCUGACUCUCUGCCCCUUGGAUCACUCACUCUGGGAGAGGCCAGCUGUCACAUUUGAGGAUGGUCACAUGUAGAGAGGCCCAUCUGGAGAGGAACUGAGGCGUCUUGCCAAUCCAUGUGAAUGGGCUUGAAAUGGAUUCUCUGCCCUGGAGAAAACUUGGAUGACUAUAGUCUUGGCCGACAGCUUGACUAAAACUUUGCGAGAGACCCUGAGUCAGAAUCACCCAGAUAUGUCACUCUUGGAUUCCUGUCUGUCAGAAACUGUGAAUGAGAAGGUCAAGUUGCAGAAGAAUAAAUGGAAUGGAAAAGAUUUCAGAGCCAUCUUUGCACAAUACAGCCAUACCUGCCCGGCCCUGGGAAGAAAACCCAAUGCAUUGUUCUCUGCAUUGCCUCUCAGGAACAGAGGGACAGAUGGCUUCUUUUCAUAAGCCCUGCACACUUCUAGAACUGGGAGUAAGGCUCAUUCUGCUGAAAUGGCUCUUCCUGUCAAGUCCUGAGGAGAGCCAGCAGUGCUUUGGGCUUGGAAAAUGGGUACUUGUUGCCUUUUGUUCUCAGUUAUUGACUCUGCUACAAAUUCUACCUUUCUAGAAAAACAGGGAAGAUCCCAUUCGGCAUCUCACCCCACCAAGCCACCUCACUCUUUCUCUACCAGUCACUGUACUUAGCCCUUCACCUCCAGGAGUCCUGCACCUACCUUCUUAGCUAGGAAUUAUAAGUCCAUUUCACAGAGGGGAUCUAGAGGACCAAGGUCCAUAGCUGCCAGGUGGUGGAGGAGGGAAUCGAUGCUAGUUCUGACCUCUUUUUCAACCUUCUAGGUUUUCUGGGAUUUCAGAAAGCCUGAAAGUAUAGGAGCUUCAGCCCUGGUUUCCUCAGGUCAUUCCAAGGGUGAGGCCAGAGUGAGCAGUGUGAGAGGGGAGGAGGGAGCUACUUACCGGAGGUAGGACCUUAAACCCUGUCUGGCAGUCAUUGAGAAUACAAAUAUCAAUAAAUGCUAGAGAGAGGAUGUGAAGAAUAAGAAACACUAUUACACUGUUGGUGGGAUCAUAAAUUAGUACAACACUAUAGAAAUCGGUACAGAGACUCCUCAAAAAACUAGGCAUGGAACCACCAUAUGACCCAGCUAUGCCAUUCCUUUAGAUAUUUAUCCUAAAGAAUUAAAGUUAUCAUACCAUAGGAUACAUGCACAUCCAUGAUUAUAGCAGCAUAAUUCACAAUAGCCAAAUUAUGGAACCAACCUAGGAGUCCACCAGUGGAGGAAUGGAUAAAGAAAAUGUGGUAUAAUUGCUGAUGGGACUGCAAAGGGGUGCAACCACUCUGGAAAACAGUAUGAAGAUACCUCAGAAAACUUGCAAUGGAUCCACCAUUUGACCCAGCUAUCCCACUCCUUGGUUUAUACCCAAAGGACUUAAAAUCAGCAUGCACAGUGACGCAGCCACAUGGAUGUUUAUAGCAGUUCAAUUCACAAUAGCUAAACUAUGAAACCAACCUAGAUACCCUUCAACAGAUGAAGGGAUAAAGAAAAUGUGGUACAUAUACACAGUGGAAUAUUACUCAGCCUUAAAUAAAAUAAAAUUAUGGCAUUUGCAGGUAAAUGGAUGGAACUAGAGAAUAUUAUGCUAAGUGAAAUAAGCCAAUCCCCAAAACCCAAAAGCUGAAUGUUUUCUCUGAUAAGCAAUGCUGAUCCAUAGUGGGGUAGAGGGAUAGGGGAAGAAUGAAGGAACUUUGGUUUGCGUA